AUUGAACGCUGGCGGCAGGCCUAACACAUGCAAGUCGAGCGGAUGAAGGGAGCUUGCUCCUGGAUUCAGCGGCGGACGGGCGAGUAAUGCCUAGGAAUCUGCCUGGUAGUGGGGGAUAACGUCCGGAAACGGGCGCUAAUACCGCAUACGUCCUUAGGGAGAAAGUGGGGGAUCUUCGGACCUCACGCUAUCAGAUGAGCCUAGGUCGGAUUAGCUCGUUGGUGGGGUAAAGGCCUACCAAGGCGACGAUCCGUAACUGGUCUGAGAGGAUGAUCAGUCACACUGGAACUGAGACACGGUCCAGACUCCUACGGGAGGCAGCAGUGGGGAAUAUUGGACAAUGGGCGAAAGCCUGAUCCAGCCAUGCCGCGUGUGUGAAGAAGGUCUUCGGAUUGUAAAGCACUUUAAGUUGGGAGGAAGGGCAGUAAGUUAAUACCUUGCUGUUUUGACGUUACCAACAGAAUAAGCACCGGCUAACUUCGUG
rnacentral:rRNA from 1 species